CUGGGAUGUUGGAGGUCUUCCCAGGGCCGGGCUUCUGGCGAGUUUAGCCGUCCUUCCGACUUAGGCUUUGAGUCGCUUAUCUACCCAGUAACUUAAUGCAUUGUAAACUGUUUGUUUCAUAUUGGUGGAGAUUACAUGAAGAAGAACAAGAUAAGCACUUGUGUACUUGUGUGUCUGGGCUGGCUUCUACCAUCCCCAAAAGAAAAUCAUGUCUUAACUGACCUACGGAGAGAAAGAGCUGAAGACCUACUGAGCCAGUCUUCAUAGCUAGCCCUGAGCCAACCCAUAAACACAUGGUGAAUGCUGAAGAAUUGUUUCAAGUUGCAUUCAUUUGUCUAUGAAUGACUCAAGUUUAUCUUCCUGUGUGACAGAAUAGUACUGCACUGGGGCUGUUUCCAAGAUCUAGCUAUUACAAACUGUGUUGCAGUAAACAUGGGUAUGCUUGUAUCCCUGCAGUACAAUGCUUUGAACUCUUUUGGAAAGAUACCUCGAAAGGAGAUAUCUGGGUCAAAGGAAAUUUCCAUUUUUAGGGUUUUUUGUUUUUGAGAAAUUUCCACACUGAUUUAAGUGAAA